rfam:Tupaia chinensis contig45883, whole genome shotgun sequence.
UGUCCCUGGCCUAGGUAGAAUGACAUCUGGCUAGUGGUGCCUAUUAUUAUUAGCCAGGGACAAAGCAACCCAUUGUUUAUCUCACCUUGGCUUUUGGUCACUGACCAUGCCUGGUUCGUAUCUUGGACACAUAG